AUGGUUAGUGCUGUCAAUCUUGGCAAUCAAUGUGAGCGGCCAUGUCGUGCUCUCUCUGCAGCCCACAAUGGAACCAGGGAACUAGGGUCAGCAGUUGAAAAGCAAACGGCCUUGUCCCCCAAAUCCUUGGGAAACAGCCUAGGGAGAAGAGGAAGGAAGGAGUGUGAAGUAGCAGAUUCAGCUGGAGAGGUGAAACACGGAGUGCCAGCAACACUACCGCACGACUGGAUCCCUUGCAAGGUGCUGAGACAAUUCUGGCUUCUGAGUCAGCGUGUUCGCCGCAACUCGGCUCUUGAGCGGGAGGAUGACUGGAUUUGUCCCUCGGAGACUGGUGGAAUUCGGAGAGGAACAGGAGAAGUUACAAAGUCCACUGACUUUGGAUCUGGGGAACAACAGGCACUGGUAGUCCCUUGACUGUGGCCAGACUGGCACCUUUACAAGCUUCGUCCUUUAGAUUUCAUCAGAUAAAUUACUAUGGCUUUGAGAGAUUCCAGAUGAAUUACAAAAUUUGCCCUAGUGAGUAAAGAAGCGGGUCUUUCUACACGCUCAAAAUAUAAGUGAAGUGCAAAGGAGGUGAUCUUCAUCUCCUUGGGGAUAGAUGUAGUUUGGGAGCACCUGCCCCUCGGUUUCUGUUAGUGAGAAUCCGCCGAGGAGAAAGAACAACCCGCUUCUGAAGGAGAGAAGGAGCAUUGCGAAAUCCCACCCUUCACCCAACAGGGAUGCUGCUAGACCUAAAAUAUUCAGAUUCAUUUUACUUCCUCCCCCCUUCUCUCCUCCCUCCCGCUCUCCACCUCGAGCUGUUCUGGAAUGCAGUGCUGGAAUGCCAAGCCUUUGGCCCAGGGAGGGCACUUUACCUGCUCGAAGCUGCUCCUGAGUUCUACACAGUGAUAGUCGCCCCCACCCCAAAGGCAAAAAAGGAAGGCGGGUAAAAGGGUCCUGGAGAAGACAACACCACUCCCCCCCCCCUUCCCGGCCCAGGUUUGGCUAUGAAGAGCACUUGUUCUGUUCAAGAAAUUAAAAUUUAAGGCACUCUUCUUCCCCUCCCCCCCAAAAAAGUCCGAACUUCCCCCAGGUUGUGUAACUGUGAGAUUCUACUCACACCACCAGCCAAUUAAGAGCCAUCUGCGACUUCUUCUCAAAGAUAUUUCUACUCUGUCGCUAACUUUCAGCGGAAAGGGUUUUAUAGCUACUGUUACAAAUAGAACAGAUACAAAUGUCAUUUAUUCCAAACUACUGGAGAUGAGGGGGAGGGAUAACUGUUGCUGAAACGAAGAAUAAAUGAGAUUGGUGUGAAAGCCA
rnacentral:lncRNA from 1 species